rnacentral:lncRNA from 1 species
AAAGUUGAUUUAAACCUCGAACUAGAUCAAAUAGAGAAUUUACGAUGAAAUUAAGAAUUUUAAUGUCCCAGAAUGGUUUAAUAUGGUAAUUCGGAGUUCGAGGAUCAAUUUGGAGUCAAAUCGAAAUUUUCACUAUCUAGGGGUAAAAUGGUCAUUUACCACCUGAGGAUAAAAUGGUAAUUUUUAGAAAAGAUUUUUGGCCCCAUUUGACUUAUUGGAGUAAGAUUUGAGGUUUAGAAGUGAAAAAUUUUAAUUUCGGUAUAAUUUGGAGUAAAA